GUGCUAAGUGGGAAAGGAUGUGGAGUUGCACAGACAACCAGGAGGUUGGCUUAGAAGCAGCCACCCUUGAAAGAGUGCGUAAUAGCUCACUGGUCAAGUGAUUCCGCGCCGACAAUGUAGCGGGGCUCAAGUACACCGCCGAAGUUGUGGCAUUCAGAUAUUAGCCAAGCCUUCGUGGUUCAGGCGUCUGGAUGGGUAGGGGAGCGUCGUGUGGGCGGUGAAGUCGCGGUGUAAACCAGCGGUGGAGCCUACACGAGUGAGAAUGCAGGCAUGAGUAGCGAAAGACGGGUGAGAAACCCGUCCGCCGGAUGAUCAAGGGUUCCAGGGUCAAGCUAAUCUGCCCUGGGUAAGUCGGGACCUAAGGCGAGGCCGACAGGCGUAGUCGAUGGACAACGGGUUGAUAUUCCCGUACCGGCGAAAAACCGCCCAUGCUGAACGGGGGAUACUAACCGCCCGAAGCCUGCCCGACACCCCUUGUGGGUGAAGGGUUUUGGUGGAGCGCGGGACCUGAUCCUGGGAGGCAAGCGUAUUAACAGGUGUGACGCAGGAAGGUAGCCGAGCCGGGCGAUGGUUGUCCCGGUCUAAGGAUGUAGGGCGAACGGUAGGCAAAUCCGCCGUUCAUGAUGCCUGAGAUCUGAUGGGACUCCCGUAAGGGGGGAUUCGGUGAUCCUAUGCUGCCUAGAAAAGCAUCGGCGCGAGGUUUUAGCCGCCCGUACCCCAAACCGACACAGGUGAUCAGGUAGAGAAUACUAAGGCGAUCGAGAGAAUUAUGGUUAAGGAACUCGGCAAAAUGCCCCCGUAACUUCGGGAGAAGGGGGGCCCCAACCUUGAUACACCCUUGCGGUGUGGAGGGGAUCGGGGCCGCAGAGACCAGGGGGAAGCGACUGUUUACUAAAAACACAGGUCCGUGCGAAGUCGCAAGACGAUGUAUACGGACUGACUCCUGCCCGGUGCUGGAAGGUUAAGAGGACCGGUUAGCCGCAAGGCGAAGCUGAGAAUUUAAGCCCCAGUAAACGGCGGUGGUAACUAUAACCAUCCUAAGGUAGCGAAAUUCCUUGUCGGGUAAGUUCCGACCUGCACGAAUGGAGUAACGACUUCCCCGCUGUCUCAACCAUAAACUCGGCGAAAUUGCAGUACGAGUAAAGAUGCUCGUUACGCGCAGCAGGACGGAAAGACCCCGGGACCUUUACUAUAGUUUGGUAUUGGUGUUCGGAGUGGCUUGUGUAGGAUAGGUGGGAGACGUUGAAGCCCGGACGCCAGUUCGGGUGGAGUCAUCGUUGAAAUACCACUCUGGUCACUUUGGACAUCUAACUUCGGCCCGUAAUCCGGGUCAGGGACAGUGCCUGAUGGGUAGUUUAACUGGGGCGGUUGCCUCCUAAAAAGUAACGGAGGCGCCCAAAGGUUCCCUCAGCCUGGUUGGCAAUCAGGUGUCGAGUG
rnacentral:rRNA from 1 species